AAGGAUCUCCAGUGACGUUCUGUGCUGCAUCUUGGUGGAACCAGUCUGUUGCCUGCCCUCCAAGGCCACCUCCCAUGAAUCCAACUCCGCCCCCAGGUCGGAGCCAGCCUUCCUGGUGAGUUUUAGCUGGAGAAACCCAAGGCAUGGUGACCACACAGAAUUUGCCCUCGUCACCCGACAUGGUUUACGGAAGCUAGAAUUGUGCCGGAUGCAGAUAAGACUGGAGGUUGACGAGACCUCUCUGUUUUUGUAGCUCGGUGUUUCGCUUCGCCCCCUGUAAGAAGUCCAAGGGCUGCUUUAGAUCCAACGCUGCCAGUGCGCGACAAUUGAGUGGGGGUAGUCGUUCAAAGAUGCAGUGGAGUGUGGUCGCUUGGUCCGUUCUGCUGUUGUCUGGUGCUGUUGGAUCCGACGAAUCGAUCAUACAAUCACCGAAGCAGAUCACAGUUACUGAAGGCGGGACUGCGCGGCUAAACUGUACAUUUGUUGGCAACACAAGCAGUUUAAUCGGGGCCAUUAGUUGGUACAAGGACGUGGAAACUCGUGACGUUUCCAACACGAGCGGCGACUAUUAUGGUCGCGUUCUGAAAUAUAAUUCACAGGGAAUUCUAAAAGAAUCCAUCGACAUCACUGACCUCAAAGUGAACGAUACAGGAAGGUAUUACUGCCGAGUGCGUGUUUUCACAGGGGGAAUAUAUAAUGGUCACGGCACAGAUGUCGC